GAUGAACGCUGGCGGCGUGCCUAAUACAUGCAAGUCGAGCGAACAGACGAGGAGCUUGCUCCUCUGACGUUAGCGGCGGACGGGUGAGUAACACGUGGAUAACCUACCUAUAAGACUGGGAUAACUUCCGGAAACCGGAGCUAAUACCGGAUAAUAUAUUGAACCGCAUGGUUCAAUAGUGAAAGACGGUUUUGCUGUCACUUAUAGAUGGAUCCGCGCCGCAUUAGCUAGUUGGUAAGGUAACGGCUUACCAAGGCAACGAUGCGUAGCCGACCUGAGAGGGUGAUCGGCCACACUGGAACUGGGACACGGUCCAGACUCCUACGGGAGGCAGCAGUAGGGAAUCUUCCGCAAUGGGCGAAAGCCUGACGGAGCAACGCCGCGUGAGUGAUGAAGGUCUUCGGAUCGUAAAACUCUGUUAUUAGGGAAGAACAAAUGUGUAAGUAACUAUGCACGUCUUGACGGUACCUAAUCAGAAAGCCACGGCUAACUACGUG
rnacentral:rRNA from 1 species